CUGGUGACAAAUCUGGUGACCUGUCAAUAUAAUGUCAGUUCAUUCAUGUAUUCGCGACACAUGAUUACGUUCGAGUUCACUGCAGUUCUUGCACUCCUGCACAGGUUAUUUCAUAAUUAUCAUUGUAACUUGUCGCAAUAUUGUAAAAAUUGAUAAACAAUUUUCAAUAAAAACAGGAUAACCUGAGUCUUCAUGAAAGAAGAAUUCCACCUGCUGUAAUUUAGACUUGCAGUCGAUACGUUUACGAAUUACGAUAAAAUGAACCCAAAAAUAUUGUGGUCACGAAUGAAAUCAAAUAUUGGACUGGUAAAAAAACAAGAUGGGGAAUAACUGAGAUAUUCAGAAUUUGUUUAAAUUAUUGUACAUGAGUAUACAUGAUAAUUAUAUGUGUGGCUAACUAUGAUAUGAUAUGACUCGAAGGACCAGCUCUCUCGACUGAAAUGAUCAAUCUCGCGAGCAACAACAAAAUUGGCUAUAAUGGGUAGAUCACCUUAAUUAGUCGCAACGGAUGACCAAUUUUUCAUCAAAAAAAUGGGACACCAACAAGUCUUUAAUGUUAUGUUUAAUAACUCUAAUAUUUGGUACUACUUAUUAUUUACAAAAUGUACAAGGAAUUUGGUUGAAGGCGAUAGGUCUGGCUAUGCUCCUCCGCCCUGAGGAUUUUAGUGGUAAUAAUGAACAAAAUGUAACUUCACAAAAUUCAGAGGCUAAAAUAAUAAGUAUGUUGAAAAUAAUUUGACGGCUUAUUUAAACUUACUGUUACAG